GACGAACGCUGGCGGCGUGCUUAACACAUGCAAGUCGAACGGUAAGGCCCUUCGGGGUACACGAGUGGCGAACGGGUGAGUAACACGUGGGUGAUCUGCCCUGCACUUUGGGAUAAGCCUGGGAAACUGGGUCUAAUACCGAAUACACCCUGCUGGUCGCAUGGCCUGGUGGGGGAAAGCUUUUGCGGUGUGGGAUGGGCCCGCGGCCUAUCAGCUUGUUGGUGGGGUGAUGGCCUACCAAGGCGACGACGGGUAGCCGGCCUGAGAGGGUGUCCGGCCACACUGGGACUGAGAUACGGCCCAGACUCCUACGGGAGGCAGCAGUGGGGAAUAUUGCACAAUGGGCGCAAGCCUGAUGCAGCGACGCCGCGUGAGGGAUGACGGCCUUCGGGUUGUAAACCUCUUUCAAUAGGGACGAAGCGCAAGUGACGGUACCUAUAGAAGAAGCACCGGCCAACUACGUGCCAGCAGCCGCGGUAAUACGUAGGGUGCGAGCGUUGUCCGGAAUUACUGGGCGUAAAGAGCUCGUAGGUGGUUUGUCGCGUUGUUCGUGAAAACUCACAGCUUAACUGUGGGCGUGCGGGCGAUACGGGCAGACUGGAGUACUGCAGGGGAGACUGGAAUUCCUGGUGUAGCGGUGGAAUGCGCAGAUAUCAGGAGGAACACCGGUGGCGAAGGCGGGUCUCUGGGCAGUAACUGACGCUGAGGAGCGAAAGCGUGGGGAGCGAACAGGAUUAGAUACCCUGGUAGUCCACGCCGUAAACGGUGGGUACUAGGUGUGGGUUUCCUUCCUUGGGAUCCGUGCCGUAGCUAACGCAUUAAGUACCCCGCCUGGGGAGUACGGCCGCAAGGCUAAAACUCAAAGAAAUUGACGGGGGCCCGCACAAGCGGCGGAGCAUGUGGAUUAAUUCGAUGCAACGCGAAGAACCUUACCUGGGUUUGACAUGCACAGGACGCCGGCAGAGAUGUCGGUUCCCUUGUGGCCUGUGUGCAGGUGGUGCAUGGCUGUCGUCAGCUCGUGUCGUGAGAUGUUGGGUUAAGUCCCGCAACGAGCGCAACCCUUGUCUCAUGUUGCCAGCACGUUAUGGUGGGGACUCGUGAGAGACUGCCGGGGUCAACUCGGAGGAAGGUGGGAAUGACGUCAAGUCAUCAUGCCCCUUAUGUCCAGGGCUUCACACAUGCUACAAUGGCCGGUACAAAGGGCUGCGAUGCCGUGAGGUGGAGCGAAUCCUUUCAAAGCCGGUCUCAGUUCGGAUCGGGGUCUGCAACUCGACCCCGUGAAGUCGGAGUCGCUAGUAAUCGCAGAUCAGCAACGCUGCGGUGAAUACGUUCCCGGGCCU
rnacentral:rRNA from 1 species